AUACGGAGGGUGCAAGCGUUAUUCGGAAUCACUGGGCGUAAAGGACGCGUAGGCGGGAAGCCAAGUCUGAUGUGAAAUCCUAUGGCUUAACCAUAGAACUGCAUUGGAAACUGGUUACCUAGAGUAUGGGAGGGGGAGAUGGAAUUAGUGGUGUAGGGGUAAAAUCCGUAGAUAUCACUAGGAAUACCGAAAGCGAAGGCGAUCUCCUGGAACAAUACUGACGCUAAGGCGUGAAAGCGUGCGGAGCAAACGGGAUUAGAUACCCGAGUAGUCC
rnacentral:rRNA from 1 species